rnacentral:rRNA from 1 species
UACGUAGGUCCCGAGCGUUGUCCGGAUUUAUUGGGCGUAAAGCGAGCGCAGGUGGUUUAUUAAGUCUGGUGUAAAAGGCAGUGGCUCAACCAUUGUAUGCAUUGGAAACUGGUAGACUUGAGUGCAGGAGAGGAGAGUGGAAUUCCAUGUGUAGCGGUGAAAUGCGUAGAUAUAUGGAGGAACACCGGUGGCGCAAGCGGCUCUCUGGCCUGUAACUGACACUGAGGCUCGAAAGCGUGGGGAGCAAACAGG